AUACGGAGGGGGCAAGCGUUGUUCGGAAUUACUGGGCGUAAAGGGCGCGUAGGCGGGAAGUCAAGUUAGGGGUGAAAGGCCUGGGCUCAACCUAGGAACUGCCUCUAAAACUGGCUAUCUAGAGUCCGGGAGAGGAUGGCGGAAUUCCCAGUGUAGAGGUGAAAUUCGUAGAUAUUGGGAAGAACACCAGUGGCGAAGGCGGCCAUCUGGUCCGGCACUGACGCUGAGGCGCGAAAGCGUGGGGAGCAAACAGGAUUAGAUACCCCGGUAGUCC
rnacentral:rRNA from 1 species